rnacentral:rRNA from 1 species
AUUGAACGCUGGCGACAUGCCUUACACAUGCAAGUCGAACGGCAGCACGGGUGCUUGCACCUGGUGGCGAGUGGCGAACGGGUGAGUAAUACAUCGGCACAUGUCCUGUAGUGGGGGAUAGCCCGGCGAAAGCCGGAUUAAUACCGCAUACGAUCUACGGAUGAAAGCGGGGGACCUUCGGGCCUCGCGCUAUAGGGUUGGCCGAUGGCUGAUUAGCUAGUUGGUGGGGUAAAGGCCUACCAAGGCGACGAUCAGUAGCUGGUCUGAGAGGACGACCAGUCACACUGGGACUGAGACACGGCCCAGACUCCUACGGGAGGCAGCAGUGGGGAAUUUUGGACAAUGGGCGAAAGCCUGAUCCAGCAAUGCCGCGUGUGUGAAGAAGGCCUUCGGGUUGUAAAGCACUUUUGUCCGGAAAGAAAUCCUUGGCCCUAAUACGGUCGGGGGAUGACGGUACCGGAAGAAUAAGCACCGGCUAACUACGUG